AGAGAGAAGCCCCUUGCGGGUCAGUCAGUGUAUUGUGGUGAGUGUGGUAGGUCUUGCUCUCUCCUCACACUCAUACUGUCACAUACUCUUCUCGCCGGGCUCACCAACCCCCUUAUACAGUUUAUCGAGCUCUAAAUAAAUGCAAUUAAUGUUUGAACAUCAACUUUGAGCAGUGUUUGAAGUGUAGUAGUGGCAGGAGAGACGAGCACUGGACGAUACUCUCUUUGACAGCUGAUAGUUGGUGAUAUUUUUAACUUUUUUUACAUGCUUAGGAGUGGUGUAGUCAAGCCAACGUACCUCCCGUGUCCCAGGACAUUAUUUACAAAUGCCGUGUGUCCUGCUAGAUAGAGUUUUCUGUUAAAAAAUUGGUGAACGGCAGCAAACUGGCUACACGUUUUCUACCGCUUCCUCGGCAGCUCGGGAAAAAAUAACGUUGAGAAGCCAAGGAUUACCGGCUGCCUCACCUGCAAUAACAAGUCUAGUUGUACGAGGUGUAUAGAACGACCCGUGUGCGUGACACAGUGAAUAAUGGAGGUUUUGGGGUCCUGCAGCGUCCACUGGUUGACUCUGGCUGUCUUCCUGUAUGGAGCACACUAUAGUGCGUGUGCGUGUCACCUUGAAAACUAUGUGUCCUCGUGUAUCCUAAAUAUCCUUGAGGAACACAUAGAAGCAACAGCCAUCAUCAAUCAUUGUCACCUGCCUCUUGAUAUCACCUUUCUAAUAGCAUAUCAAUACAAGAACAGUACUCGACACAACUGGAAGUACACAUUUGUCACAUCAAACCAGAAUGAGAGAGUCCUCAUUCCUGGCUUGUUACUACCUGUGGCACCUCACGCACCAGUCUUCCUGUAUGCUCGAGUGCCAGAGAGGGAAUUCAACAUGCACAAUGCUUCUUUUGUGGCAAUUGAGGCAUCAUUUGUAGCAGAGUUAAGCACCGACAAGUGGGAAGAAGCCGAGUUCUUAAACCACACUGUGUACAUUGGUUCCACCAAUGAUUGUCUCUUCAGCAAACUUGGACAAGAUCCCAUACCCUGGAUUAUUGGUGGUUUGUUUGCUGUUGCAUUGGUUUCAGGCGCUCUAGGAGGCGGCUGUUAUUUUUAUCGAAAAAGGAAAAUGGCAUUAGAUCAACUAGCACUUGUGAAUGCUAUGGAGGUUGGUCUUCCAGGGGCUCAGCCAUAUCAGAUGGAUGCAGCUGUGGAAAAAAAGAAGCAAAAUGUUGAAACUAUCCAUAAUGAAUCAUCUCAACCCAAGAGUAGUACAACAGAAAGUAUGGAAAGUGAGUGUGAUGUCAAUGAGCUGACUAAACCGCAGAAUUCUGAGGCAGCGCAACAAUUGAAGAAGGGCAAGAAAGGUUUCAAAUUUGGGCGGCUAAAAGAAGACCCAUUAUCUUUAUCAAAUGGCUCUUCAGGACUGAAAGACAUGUCUGUCAUUAUUGGUAACCCAGCAUAUCAGGAUGACUCAAAACACACACAAGAUGAAGGUGGGAACAGAGAAAAUCACAGACAACCCAUAAAUAUUGAGUCUUCAUUAAAAGGGGAUACAUUUAUUAUAGAAAAUACUACAGUUAAUGGCAUGUACCCAGAACAAGAUGGUGCAGGACAUUCAUUAGAGGAUAAUUCAUCUAUUAGCAGAAACCAGGAAGCUCCAGAUGACUUGUCAGUUAAUGGGCAUCCUCUCGAAUCUGAUGACAGCUUGGAUGGCAGUGAACAAGUUGGCCAAGGUGCGCGACGUAAAGUACGUGACUCCACCACUAUGGUCUCGGCAGAAGUCAACACCACCAGUGACUCUCAGAAGUGUUUAUGAGAUGCUGAUAAGCAUGAAAUUAUUGUUUGCAAACAGCACAGAAAUUACAAUUCAUUAACAGUUGCAUAAGGGAAUGGUGGCCGGCGCCAUAUUUUAAGGCAAGUAUUGUAUGCACUAUGUAUUUGUUUAACUUAAGUAUCUUUUUUUUAUGCCUAGCUGUAUUGAACAUUUAAUAUAUGAUAAUCUAAAAACGUUAUCAGUCAGUUUAGACACCAACAGUUUUUGCUUAUCGCACGGGGUGGGGAACCCAAGAGCCAUACAAAUGUGGCCCUCCUGUAUACACCAUAAUAAAUCAGUUAAAAUCAGAACUGUUAGCUUAAAAUUAGGCACAGCAUAUAUGAUGUAUCAGUAAAUGAUGGGAAAAGUACUGUAUUUGUGGAAAUUCUUCAUGCAAAGACUUCUAUGAACAUCCUAGGCAUAAACCAUACCACAGGUGGGGUUAGAACCCGUGAUCAGAUCGCAGGUUCUAAUCCCACCUGUGGUAUGGUUUGUUUGUAAUUGUGUCAUUACGAUUUCAUGAGUCAUCCUAGGCAUAAUAUUUAGCUUUAUAUUUGUGCAUCACUAACUUUUUAGCAGUGCCAAGAUUAUUUUCAGUCCACACAGAAAGACAGUGCUUUUAUCUUCAUUGCAAAUAAUUUCUAAAAGGGAUGCUUUAAUGAUGGUGAAAGUCUCUAGAUCCAUGAAAUUGGAGCUCUCUCCUUCCUCAAUUCAAACUUGAUUACUCUUCACCUUUAUGGAUUUAGUACUUUCUAAGAAUAAUUUAUAUAUUUAUUGCUAAGUUAUUUUUAUGAAUAAUAGACACAAAUAGCAGUACUAAUUGGAAACUUUGUUAAGAAAAUAUUUAGCCUGGACAGUAAAGCUUAUUAUUCAAAUAUGAUCACACUUUUUCAACUUUGACCGGACUUGAAAAAGCCUGAUGCUCAAGCAAAAAAAAAUCUAUUACUGCUAUUGUGUCUUUAUCACUACAACUCGUCGAUAUUCCCAUACCGUCUACUAUUGCAAAACUAUCUUUGUGUACAUUAUUUUUUCAUAGAGGAGUAUGUGUGGAUGGCUGAAAAAUGAAGUAACAGUGGACAUAAUAAAAAGUAUAAUAUACAACAUGUAUAUCAGAAAAGCAGAAUUUUUCAGUGAUGUAGAAGUAGUGUGAGAGAAUGUGUGGAUGCCUCUGAAUUGAGCUUCACAAGGUGUAAGGCUAACUGUAUGGCAUUAUUACAGGGAAGAAAAAGCAUAUUCAAUUUUAGUGGUCACUUUGGGAAGUAUAAUGCACCUUGGUACAAUCAGCAAAUAAUUUGUUUGAAAUAUAAAAUAUGUUAGCUAAUAAUAAGAACAGGUAGGAGUAUUCCAAUAAUUUUACAAUGGAAUGGUGCUUGAGGUGCAGACUCAAAACAUGUAAUAAAAAAAAAAUUGUUCAUUGGGUAUACCAUAUACAUGUACUUUUCUUGGGCUACAGUUCUUGCAAAUCUUAAUAUUAACAAUAUUAGAGCCAUAUUUAAGUAAAUGUGACUUCGUGAAGUCAUGCUGGCUAUUAGAAAUUUCCUUUUUUUUUUUUUUUUUUUACUCAAAAACUGGUUAAAGAAUCAGUAUGAAUUUAUUUGGCCUUAAUAAGCUAAUACAGUGGACCCCUGCUUUACGAUCACCUCCCAAUGCGACCAAUUAUGUAAGUGGAUUUAUGUAAGUGCAUUUGUACGUGUAUGUUUGGGGGGUCUGAAAUGGACUAAUCUAAUUCACAAUAUUCCUUAUGGGAACAAAUUUGUCCAGUACUGGCACCUGAACAUACUUCUGGAAUGAAAUAAUAUCGUAAACCGGGGGUCCACUGUACAGUGGACUCCCGAGUUUCGGCAGCUUCGACUUUCGUGACAUUCAACCUUCGGCGAGUUUUCUUGGAAAAAUUUGGCCUCGAGUUUCUUGAAAAAACUCGUGUUUCGGCGACCGUCCAGUACCCGUCCGCCCGUCACCGCGCACACAAAGCCAGUCUCCCAUGCCAUUCACGCUCAGUGUGCCAUUGUUUACCAACAUGUGACCAUCACCCCGUGGGUUCAUACAAUACAUUUCAUAAUAAUCCAUUGUUUUUUGUGCUUGCAACUGCUAAAUAAGUCAUCAUGGACCCAAGGAAAGCUAGUGCAAGCCCUUUGGUAAAUAAAGCGAGUGACGGGGAUGUGGAAGAGUUGGUGGAGGACCACAGGGAAGAGCUAACCACUGAUGAACUGCAAGAGCUUCAACUGGAACAGCAUCAGACCACAGCCAAGGAACUUGCUUCAGAGGAGGAGGAGGAAGAGGGAGUGGAUGAGGUGCCUUCUUCAGUGAUUAAGGACAUGUGUGGAAUGAGUUGCAAAGUUUUGUUGAAAAGUAUCACCCUGACCAAGCUGAAACAAGCCAUAUCUGCAACAUGUACAAUGACAGUGUUGUGUCCCACUUCAGGGAAAUCUUAAAGAAAUGCCAAAAAAAGACCUCUGGAUAGAUAUUUUGUGUGCCAGGGGUCCAGUGACUCUCAAGGUGUUCCCAGUGGCAUUAAAAGAAGAAGGGAAGUAACCCCAGAUAAGGACUUGCUACCUAAAGUCCUAAUGGAAGGAGAUUCUCCUUCCAAACAAUAGUGUACACCUUCCUCCUAUCACCUCCUCCCAUCUUCCAUCCACCCAGAAGUCUUCAGUAAAGGUAAGUGUAAUGUUAUUAUUAUUUAUUUUAAAUGCAUGUACUUGAUUUCUGAUUGUUUUCAUUAUGUAAAUCUUUAUUUAAUUUUAAAAAAAUAUUUUAUUUUAAUAUUUUUGGGUGUCUGCAAUGGAUUAAUUUUAUUUCCAUUAUUUCUUAUGGGGAAAAUGGUUUUGAGUUUCGUGAAUUUCAACCUUCGGCAGGCUCUCUGGAAUGGAUUAAUCACGAAACUCGGGGGUCCACUGUACUUUGUACAGCUUUCAUAGUAAUUUCAAAAUUGGUUUAGAUGCAGAUUUCUUAAAGGUAAAUUUACAGUUGAUCAGUUCUUUGAAUAUACCAGUUAUUUGUGACUUUUGCUUUUCAAGUGAUGGUUUUAAAGUUAAUAAUACACCAUAAGGUUUUGGCAUACAGUUUGUGAUGUCUUGUUCGUUCCUGAUGAGACUACUGGAUACUGCACAUUUUUGCACUAUGUAGUUAUGUAAGGUGACUUGUUUUUAUAUAUGAUGAAUGACCUUACUGGUACUGUAUAUAAUUUGCACGAGUUUGCUUGACCUGACAAAUUUGUUGACAUGGCACAUUUUCUUAUUUAAAGUUUUGCAGUGACAUAAGGAAAAUUGUAUCAAGCUUUUUUUUUUUUUUUAAAGAUCUUGGUAAUGUUAUUGACAAUAAGCAAAGUUUCUAGUUUAUAAUGAAUAUGUUUACAUCACAAAAUGAAAUUUGAGCAUUUUCUCUUUUAAAGUGCAGGUACAGUAAUAUUUGUAGAUUUGUUAAUUUUUACUUCAUGUGUUAUUCAUAAUGUAUUUAUAUUGUAAUUAUAAGUAUUUUUAAUUAAAAAAUGUUGAUAAAAUGUCUUUGUAUAUACUGUACUGUAUGCUGAAGGUAAUUUCAUAGUUUUUAGAUUAGAAAAUUUUCAGUUUGGACGAUAUGUUGGUUUACUGUUGAAAGAUUGUUGUGCUGGACAUUUUAUUUCAGGGUCCCCACCCCUACCCCAGUCUGCUUUAUAGAAUUAUAUUAGGUCUGCUUCAGUUAUUAGGAUGGCCUAGCCCUAAACCAUGACCAUUCAUUCUUGGUUAUACAGUGGAACCCUGGUUUUCGUCCUUAAUCCGUUCCAGAAGGUUGGUCAAAAUUCGAAAUGGACGAAAACUGAAAUAAUAUUUCCCAUAAAAAAUAAUGUAAAUCCAAUUGAUCCAUUCCAGACACCCAAAAAUAUUAUCAAAAAAAGCAUUUUAUAGAGAAUAACUAUAGUUUUACAUACAGAAAAAAUGAGGAAUAAAUAUAAAGCACUAAUGAAAUGGAUAAAUGAACAUUUAAAUCACUUUUACCUUUUUUGGAGACUUGUUGGUGUUUGGAAGAUGGUGAGGAGGGGAGAGGGAGGAGAGGUUAUCUCUACUACCAUCACUACCACCCUUUACCACCAUCACUACAGGUCGGCCAUCAUUAAUCCGGCGUCAUUGGGACCUGUAGUGUGCUGGAUUAGUGAGUUUGCUGGAUUACAGAGUGGUUAGGUUAGAAUACACUUAAUUAACCUAUCAAUAGAGACUUUCUGCUACAUCUUCCUCAUUUUCAUCACUGCUUUCUCCUCCACUGGCUUGCUGCUGUGGAUUUACAACUAUCUGCACACUUUAUGAGUUAGUAUAAUGAUGAAAUUUGAGUCAGUAUAAUGAUGAAAUUUGAGUCAGUAUAAUGAUGAAAUUAUGCUAGCCAAAAUUAAUGCCGGAUUACUGAUGGAACCAGAUAACUGAUUGCCAGAUUAGUAAUGGCCGACCUGUACCACCCUCUACCACCAUCACUACCAACACCACAACUACUACCACCCAAUACCACCAUCACAACCACCCUCUACCACCAUCACAACCACUACCACCCUCUACUGCCAUUGAAUUCUAUAGUGUUUCUUGCCUUCUUUAUCAAAGGGCUGGUGCUCGGAACUUUAUUUGGCCCCAUGGUGGCUUAUUUAACAGUCGCACUCAAUAAACAAGUACAAAAAACAAUGGAUUAUUAUGAAAUGUUUCGCAUGAACGCGCAGGGUAAUGGUCACUUGAGAAACAAAGCCAGACUGACUCAGAAUGUGUGCGUGGGAUGCUUUGUGUGGGUGCGGGCAGACGGACGUGUUCAUUACAGCGGACGAAAACCGAGGUGGUGAAUGAAAACCAGGACAAUAUUUUGACGACAAAAGUCAUUGAAAAUGGAAUUCGACGAAAACCAGGGCAAACGAAACCUGAGGUUCCACUGUAUACAGUACACACAUUACUUACCUUAAAAUAUUUUCAUACUUAGUUUAUAGUGAGUGGUGAAUAUUCAUUGUAGGAAGUCUGAAUAAAUGAAGAAUGGGUAUAAUUGUAAAAAGCUGUAUUAGCGAAACGCUGUAAAGCGGGGCCUGCCUGUAUAUCAGUUUAUUGCCCACGAUUAUGUAAAACAGUUCAAAAGGCCAACAUGUGUGCCAAGCAUCAUUUUCUCAAAUGAACCUACAUUCCUGGAGACACAGUAGGGCCAUAUAUGGCAGGAAGUCAGCAGAUCAUGGCCCACAUAAUACCACCUUUGUGUUUAAUUCUUUUAUGACAUCAGCCAUCUCCCACUAAGGUAGGGAGAUACAAAGAGCAACACAUUCCCCAUUGUUCAUUCAAUAACUGUCAUGCCAGUGUGUAGACAUUACACUUCAAAUGGCCCUCCGAACUGCAACAUCCUCACCUAUCUUUCAGAGUGCAGGCACUUAAAAAAAAAGGGAAACACAUUUACUAUUAUUAAUUUAAUACUAUCUUUCCAGAGUGUGCUAACAUCACACUUCAGAUGACUCUCCAAGCUGGAACUAGGUUUAGCACUUCUUUUUGAUUAUAAUAGUAAUCCAAACUGUAAUAUCCCCACCCCUCCUUUAGA